CUCUCUCUCCCUCUCGAAGCGACGCAGAACCGCUCGCCAGUGUCGCAGUCGCCUCCUGUCCCUCUCCUCUCUCUUUGCCGCUGCCCUCCUCUAAGCAUCUCCCUCUCCUACUCCCUCCUCUCAAAGCACUUGUUGGCCCCCCACCGCCGCAUCUGCAUCCCAUAAUCGCCUACGCCAUCGCCGCCGCCUUCGGGUCCUUCUCGCUCAGCCUCGACUGCUCGCUCAUCUUCACCGAGGCGCUCCUCACCCCCGCCAUCCCCUCCGUGUCGGCGUGCGCCGGCGGCAUCUUGCCCAGUCUCAGCCGAUUUAUCCUUCGGUCUGUUAGGGCCUUAUCAAACCGCCGCCACGGCGAACUCGCGCCGCUGCCAUGUUCGCCUCGCGCACCCACCAUCUCCUCAACAACGUUCAAACCGCCAACCACGACAUCCUCCUCCACAACCCGACCUCUCACGCAUCCCAACUUGGUGCGGCGUAAACGCGCAGCAGCACUUCGCCUCGGUCGACCACGGCCUGCCCCCAGGCGUUGACAUCCAGAUCCAUCUCGCUCCGAUCUACAUUCGAGAAGUUUGUCUCUGGCAUCGAUUCCCCAAUCCGAAUCAUUGCCGACGUCUUCUUUGGGUGGACGGUCGAAGUCACGCGCACGCACAUCCCACACUUGUUCCUCCCCGGCGGUGCAUUCAGCAACACCGUCUUCUUCUCCGUGUCGGAGCACCUCGGGCCAUAGGGGCAGACCCGUGAACGACAUUCUUUUGGCGUGUCACGACCUCCUGUCGCAAGCUCGAUGCUCUCCCCAUCGACACGUGAGCCCCUUGGAGGGAGCCCCGACCUAGAUUUUACUGAGAGUUUCUCCUCAUCAACCUAGAUCUCAGUUUCUCUGGACUUUACUGAGCACUCAACAUUGUGUUUUUUGGUUGCUGGUAAAUUGCUCAUUUACUGCUAUAGUUGAUUAGUAAAUAUACCGGUAUUAGUAUUUAUAUAGUUACUGGUUACUUGUAAUACAAACAUUUUUCAUUGAAGCGCGUAUAUGGUUUGUAAAAUACCAGAACAAGGUCAGUACUUUUAUCAUUGGCGAGUAUCUUUUAUGUGAGUAAUAUUUUUAUUUCCAUGUUUAUCUACUUAGUUCUCGUGGCAUGCUGCCUUUUCAGUAUUGGACAAUGCUAAUGGAGUUACAACUCCAAGGACAGGAAGGUAUAGUGCAGAUGGAGCAGGUGGUGAUGCUUCUGUAGAGCUUACACGGCCGUGCAGGCACGCAGCUGCCGCGCUUGGUGAUUUGAUAUUUGUGUAUGACGGUUUACGUGGAGGUCAAGGAAUUCCAUCCUUGUGUUUGCAUGGACCUAGAAAAUGCAGAUUUAAGAAUGAUGCGAGUGAUGGAGGCCUAUCAGGUCAAGGAAUUUCAUCCUGAUGUUUGCAAGGACCCAGAAAUUGCAGAUUUAAGAAUGAGCGAGCGAUGGAGGUCUAUCAGGGAGUGUUCUUCGUUGCUAUCCAUUGUGAAACAUGUCCUACAAGACUACAGUGUUGUGUUGUGUUGGUUCACUGUACCACAAACAAUAUUGAAGAGGACUGAUGAAGAGCGCAAAGUUUAUAGCAUAGUCGAAGAUUUUGAAUUGCAAUUCAAGGAGAAAGAGGAUUGCUAAAGGUCUUCAUAAUACUUCUUGUUUUCAUUUUAGUUGGUGGGUUCUUCAGUAAAGCUCACAAAAUAUUUAUUUUUUCUCAAAGCUUUCUUUUCAAUUUAGGAUGACCUUCAAAACAAAAAAAAGCUCAUUAAAGAACAUGGGCAUUAUGAAAGCACAAUAGGAUCCAAAGAGGUAGGUCCCUUUUUGUCACUUAUUUAAUAUUCCUGAAUAACCUGUGUUCGGUCUGAAAGAGCACAUAAUUGCACUCCUAUUUUUAAUCCUUACAUGAUUACUGCAUAACUGUUUAUCAGUUUGUGGUCUACAGGUAUCAGGCUCGCUCGCACCACAGAUAUCUUUGAGUUAUUUUUUACUGCAUUGCGACUAAUUUUAGGCCUCCAAUUUGACAAACAGAAUUAAGUAGCUUAUGUAUCCCUUGUUUCUUGUUUCCUCAGUAUAUAUACACACUUUCCAAUAUGACGCAGGUAGCAUUGUUGUAGAAUUGCGGUUCACGGAAACACAAGGCUAGCGCUUUUGUGCAACAAUUGUAUCUGUUAAACUUCUGAACAAGCUAUCUGCAAUUUCUGUUGUAUCAUUGUUAUCCCUGUUGUAUCAUCAUAAUGCAUGCUCAUAUUCAUUUCACUUCAUCACUGUUUUUUCUAACUAACCAUUAGUUGUUGUUUUAGUUAUGUAGGUUUAAGCAAGUCAAGGAUGGACUGCUUUCUGCAGUUUCAGAAAUGCAAUACUGCGCUAGAGAGAUGAGGAAGAUUGUUGACUCGCUAUGGACAAUGAAUUUGAAUGAAGUGUCGUCGAGACUUCAAGAGAUGGCUAUGUUUCUCGAAGAAAACACUAUGUACAUAGGGGAACUGGGAGGGGUAACUGAUGCCGACUGGGCACUUGACAAUGGAGGAUAUCUGAGAUGGUUCAAUGUAAUCUAUGCCGACUGGGCACUUGACAAUGGAGGAUAUUUGAGAUGGUUCAAUGUAAUCUAUGGUGAUAAUAUGAACCAUGUGGGUGGUUGUAGGGUGCUUUUAUCUGAAACAUCUUUAUGUGAUUAAAGAGACAACAAGUUUUAUGGUUCUUGUAUUUUGGUUACGCUAUGCUAUCACACGAAAUGUUGAUGAAA